GCAGCAGGCGCGUAAUUACCCAAUCCUAAUUCAGGGAGGUAGUGACAAGAAAUAACAACUCGGACCUCGUAUGAGGUUGCGAGAUUGCAAUGAGAACAAUUUAAACCACUUAUCGAGUAACAAUUGGAGGGCAAGUCUGGUGCCAGCAGCCGCGGUAAUUCCAGCUCCAAUAGCGUAUAUUAAAGUUGUUGCAGUUAAAAAGCUCGUAGUUGAAUUUCUGGCCGGCGCUGUUCUCGGCUCUCGCAGUCGGUUCAGGGCUUGGUCAUCCGUAUGGGAAGCUAGCUCGGCCUUCACUGGUCGGUUAGUGGAUCAUACACUUUACUUUGAAAAAAUUAGAGUGUUUCAGGCAGGCAAUUGCUUGGAUACUGCAGCAUGGAAUAAUGGAAUAGGACUUUGACCUAUUUGUUGGUUUCUUCGAGGUCAAAGUAAUGAUUAAUAGGGACAGUUGGGGGCAUUCGUAUUUAAUUGUCAGAGGUGAAAUUCUUGGAUUUAUUAAAGACGAACUUAUGCG
rnacentral:rRNA from 1 species